UUUUUUGGGGAGGGGGAAGGGGGAGGCUGCCCCAGUGCGCGCUCGGUCCCGCUGGCGCGGUGAGCGGGCAGCGCCGCCGCCCGCGGGGGUGUCGGGCCCGGCGCGGAGCGGAGCGCGGUGUCCGCGGGGCCGCCGGCGGCGCCGCGCAGGGUCGGAGGCAACCGCCUGCCCCGACCCUCCUCCGCCCGGUUCGGCCUUAUAUUUAAUACAUGCCCUUUCAUCUAUUAUUCAGGCGUUUCUGACUCCAGUUGUGUCUCGGCUCCCAUUUACGCCUGCACACCUUUCUCCUUCCCCUUCCCAAAGGGUCAGCCGAGACACUCGCCGAGGGAGGAAGAGAGCUGCUCUGCUGGUCUGGGUUUUGUCUGCUUAAACAUUGAACUGGAAAAGAUUCCUCCUCUCUGUGGUUUGAUAAAUAAUAAAAGUGAUCGUUUCCCUUUCCCCAUAAAUGACACAGGUAAAUUACCCAGCUAGCCACAAAGAAGCAUCACAUGCCUAGAAGACACUGUAAUAAAAUGCCAAUGUAUUACGAUAUGAGUGACCUCAAAAGUGUGACAAGAAGAUGAUUACAGUGCAUUAUAUGUAGUGCCUUUUUCAACGUUUUCUGAAGCAUGAAUGAACCUUCGUUUGACUGUGCUUUUAUUGCUAGCUUUUCUCAGCUUGAACUUACAAGCUGUAUGACAGAACCUAUCUAAUUUAGUAUGCCCAGGUGUGUGGCCACACUGGCCUCUGGUUCUGUUUAAGCCUUCCAAAUAUAUCUGUGUAGAAAAAAACAAAGAUAACAUCAGUAUUUGACUUUAUGUGGUGCUAUCUGAUUUGCAUAUUUUCAGUUGAUAGCGUUGUGAGCUAACGAUCCAAGUUCUACCUUGAAGAUUUUACAUUUUCAGACGCAGGCUCCUACCCUUAGACUCCCAUAUGUAUCUGCAUGUAGGACGCACUGUUAACUUGCUACUUGCACCUGUCAGAGGUCAGUAAUUUGCAUGGCUUGGAAUUGUGUGGCAUACUGAUAAAUGUACAUAUCCUUGCAAGUCAUACGGAUGCAGACGCUGUAUGUGAACAUUGCACAUCCUCUAAUCCCAUGAUGUGUAAAGAUUAAACGCUCUUAGUUUUGCUGUGCUUUGUAUUUGUUUCCAAAAGACUUCUGUUACAGAUACACAUGGAAAAAAAUUGAUCCCGGUUUUGAUGAUAUCAAGUAACACUAGAAAAGGGAACUGAAUCUAAUAAUAGUUCAAGAAGAAUGUUCAUUAUGUAAUACAGGAAGGAUGGCUAGAGCCCUGGCAUUGAAAGUCAAGCAAGUGACAUGAAGGAGCAACCUUACUGCCAAACCUUAGAAAAAAAAUUCUAUGAAUGAAUGAAGUACACAGUUCUUUUACCUUUUAAAAUACAAAGCAGAACAGCCAUUAAUAAAGAAGGUAAUUAGAACUACUAGCAUUCUGUGUAAUGCAGUCUACUUCUGAAAUACGGCAUGUUUAUGUAUGCAUUAAUAAUGCACACAUUUUUCCUGACACUAGUCAUAUCACAGCAGUAUAGCAUCACAGACAUUUUAUAGCCUCAUUCUAGUAACAUCUCAGGCAUAUAACAUUCUUAUUCUAAUCACGCCAUAGUCAUUUCAAUGUCACAUUGUAGUCACAUCACAUAGCCUGGUAAUAAUUAUUUAACUUUAUUGCUAAGCUGAAUAGUUUUCUGUUUGCUCAGGGAUGACUUAAACUUGUAGUCGGAACCGAUUAGCACAUACUCAUAAAUGAGCUCUUCUCAGGUACACAGGGUAGACUCAUGUAAAGUUAGGAAGAAAAAAAAAAGUCAAUAAACUAGUGUCCAUUGGUUUUAAACCGAACGCAGUCACAAGUUGCAAUAAUAGCACAUUUUUGCCGUUUUCUGUAGUAAUUUUAGAAAGCCAAAGAUGUUUACAUGCAGAUCUGUCAUGUUAAUGUUUAUGUACUUGCUUUAAAACACUGUAGUUCUUUAGCUAAUCAUACAUUAUUAACCUCAUGGAAGGGGCAGGUCUUCAAACCGUAGUAUUUGCACAAAGGAUUGAGGCCCAGAGUAUCAAAGAGGUGAGAACUUUCACAACUGCUUCUAAUAAUGAGAGAAAAAGAAUGGAAAGGGCUGAGUUCCUGAGAAGGAGUUGGAGUUGCCCAGUGUAGCAUUAACGCCACCUCUGAAAUAUGAGAAAUUGCUCUGAAAUAUGUCCAGUGUUCUCUUGAGUAGCCAUUUUUAUCCUCCAGUAGAUGUUUAUUCCCUCACUCUUAAAUUUGAGAAAACUGCAGUAUUUGGUGUUACACUCUCCUCCAAUGCAGCUCUGUGUCAUUAUUUAUACUGUUUCUUAAUAGUCACCUUUCUGCUGUGAUGUAUUAGCUUUUUGUCUGUGUGUAAGAACACUGAACUCAUAAUCACAUCACAACCUAUUAAGAUGACUUGCACAGUAUAGAAUAUUAACUAUCCAUCCACAUCAUUACUUGUUAUCUGCAGCUCGGUAUUAUUAUGUAUCAAAUUCUUUUCCAUACCGUUUUUGACUCAAAUUCUAGCAUGCUAGAAACUGACUCCAAUUAUUCUGUACUAGCUAUAGUCAAAUUGCACUAAAUGGAAUUGCUUACAUUGUAUCAUAGUGGCUAUGGGCUCACACAAUGCAUUAUACAUGAAAGUGAUUCACAUUAUGCUUUGCUAACUAAAGACUUUAAUCUUGAAGUGUUGAGCAUAAAAUGCUGUCAUUCUUCACUGAACUGGCUCUGGUCACUUGAUCAUUUUGUACCUGGGAUUGCCUCUUACAGGCUGUUAUUAUUAAAGCAAAAUGGCUUUUCCUCUUCUGCAGUUCUACCACUUUCUGUGGAGAGCUGAUUCAUAUGCUAAUGAAUGAGCUUUCUUAUUUCAUGCCGUAGCACUGUAACACUGGAACCUGACCUGUGGUGCACCUAUAGGAUGCCCCCUUCAGUCCAGCAUAGUGAAAAAAUGCAUUACUAAAAUCCACUGUGUUCAGAUAGCAGAUUAUGUGCUAAUCAUUUAGCAAUCCUUAAUAUUAUCCUCAGAAAUCUUGUUUCUGAAUGCUGCUUAAAUCAUUGGUACAUAUAUCCUUGGUCCCAUAUGCAAUAGGAAAUAUUCAAGGCCAAAUUAGUGGUCCUGCUGAGGUUUUUCAGGGUGUUCUUUACAUUGUUGUCUCUGGAAGAAGAAGAGAUUAAGAGUGUGGCAGGCAAAGAAGUGAAGACUCCCCCUGUUACAGAUGGUUUUUAAUCCAUGAAGUAGUCCACUUCCACAAGGUCAGACAUUCAUUCUCUUUUAACUGGCACUGACAUUGCUGUGUCCUUGACUUGGGCUUCUGCCACAAUUGAUUCUCACAGUAACCUCAGGAAACCCACUUCUUACAAGAAGUACUGGGUCAAAAAGUGGUGCUUAUAAUCUGCUGCACUCCUAACCCCAGUGUUUCAGGGAGUCAGUGAAGAUGAGAUGGGAAUGCCAUAAAGGCAGGAGCAGCAUAUGGAGAGGAUUGUGGAGCAUGUCAAGCAUGUUUCUCCUUGCAAGCAUGAUGCUUUGGUCCUGGCUUUAUGCACAUAAUGGUUUGGAAUUCAGGAGCUUGCUUCAGAGUUUCCUUCUCUUCUUGGGUAGAAGGAUUGGACCUGGAGUCUUUAUUUACAUAAGUAGUCCAAAUGAAGUCAAUCAAAAUAUUUUGGGUAAUGUAAAUGAUACAUAACUAUAGCAUUUCAAAAAGCCAGUAAUUGAAUUAUAAAUUAUAUUUAUUUAAUAUACUAAUUUUUGUAAUUUCAAAGUGUAUUUAAUUGUUUUUUAGAAUGGUUGUGAGAGCUCUAGGAAAGGAAAAAAAGCAGUUCAGGACUAUAUAUUAAUCUGUACUCUUAAAUAAACAAUAGCUAAGUCAGUUAAUGAUUAAUAAUUUAAACCAAUUGAACUGCUGAGAUGGAGCAAUAAUUGCAGAAUUGGGCCCUUUUAAUGUAUCUUUCUUCAGGAAAAUAAACUCAGUCCCUGGAUAAUCAAAUCACAAAAGGGGCAGGUGAUGACCUUCAUUCCGUUUGAAUGGCAGAACUAAAUUUAACUGAAUUUGCCAUUUUUUUUUGACUGACAAAGAUUGCAAAUGUCAGUUCGUGGCUCUGAAGGGUCUACAAAUGCACAAGCUGAAAACUGGCAUUUUGCAGUGCCAGUGUUUAAUCUCUGUCACUGUACAAUACAGCAAGGUGCCCAACUCCCAUUAAUUAUUGCUGUUUGUUUAAAGGUAGAGAUUAAUGUACAGGCUUGAAUUGUUUGCUUGAAAAUGUGUGGAGCUUUUUCUCCCUCAGAGGGCUUUAGUAACUAUUUACUAUAACAAUAAAAAUCCAUUUGGAUAUAACUAAAAGAGAAUAAUAAGUGCUGUUUAAAAUGUAAUUAUCAGACCACUUAAAAUAGAUGUAAUUGCACGUGGCACCAGGAGAAAAAAAACGCUUAGUUCUUUGCUACACUCAUGUCACCUGUUACAAUGGAAGUACCUGAUGAAUCAGAACACAGAAGCAGAUUCCAACCAAUGUGAUUUUGAGUAAGGUGAAAAUAUUCCAAAACCUGCAAAUAACCUGAUGGCUUAUUGAUGCUUUAUUGUUUAAAAAGGGAACAAAUAAAAAUACAGAAAAAGAAAGGAAGUCUAAAGGUAUUCAGAUGAAAAAAUGUCUGAAGAAAGCUUUACUGAGGCAUUUCAUUUCCAUCAAAACGGUAAUGUAGAUCUGAUAGAUGGAGUUGUGCUGAUGCAAUGUUGACAGGAUCAGAAUGAGACCCAAAAUAUAGAAUGAGACCUCCUUCAGGCAUUGUCGUGGUUUACCAGGACAGGCAUUUACUUUGUUUUUCUGCUUUCAACUUCUGACCUACUUCUUGAUUGCACAGAAAGUAGAAAACGCUCAGUUUAAAUCAAUAUAUAUACUCACUCUAACUUGCAUUAGUGAGAUUGACAUCUUUACAUCUGGAUUUGAACCUAAAUAUCUUCUCUUUUUCAAUCCUACUCUGAUGUCAGUCAUGCCUCACCAUUUACAAAAGGUUACUAAGGCUUGAUUAAACUCUAUGUCCUCUGGGGAAAAAAAACAACUCGUUUGACAUAGACAUAUCUUCAUUCUUUAAAUUACAGAGAGGCAGGCAGACAGAUGACUAAUUUCUGUUUAAAAGCAUCAUGCUGUUAUGAUUGCUUCUUCUAAUUUCUAAUACUUUUGCUUUUCUUAAUAUUCCAGUUAAACCAAGGCAUCUAUGUUUUUGAGGUUUUAUUUUUGGGGAGUGUGUUCUGGUGGUAGAAAUACUACAAAAGCUACACCCUACUGUUGAGCAGAUGAUGCCCAUCUAUUUACUAUGCAUAUGCACGGAAGGGAAGAGCACAGAUUCCUCCAUCACAUCCCUUUUCCAUGGCCCAGUGGCGUGGCUGUGAUUCUCAAAGACCCUUUGUUCUUCAGAGCUCAAAAGCUGUAAAAGAGAAGAUGGAGGGGCACUGUGAGACUGACUGCUCUCUGGACAGAGCUCAAGAGGCAGCAUACGCAAUAGAGGGAAAGCACCUGAGUUUGAUAUUGUGUUUUUAACUUUUGGCAAAGUAUGCUGUGCUGGGACUACUUUGCACCACCACAGGUCAUCAGGGAGGUUUAUAAGGAUCCAAAGAAGAAUCUAAGUACUGCAAUACCUAAUUUCUAAGAUCUCUGCAGACAAAUUGUGUUUUCUCCAUUUUUUUCAAUGCAUGGGGAAAGAGAGGUGUCACAGAAACUUACAAGCCAGUUAGGGAUUCACAUGAAAUAGUAAAGCUCUUUGAAAACUGAGGAUAGAGAAAGGUAUCAAACCCUUACUCAAGAAGACAUGCCUGUUUCUUUGACACAAGAAUUCUUUUCUAUAAGACCCCCAUGCACCACUUUUGCACACUGCUAUGCAAAACCUGACAAAUAAAAACUGAACAAUAGGAAAGUCUGCAGAGGAGUCCUAACCACUCUUAACAUAGGAAUAGAGUAGUCGUCUCAAAGGAGGCCAGUGUUAGAGGUGAGCAUUCAGUUCUCAGUCUGUCCCAGGAGACUACUAAGGGACUGGAUAAAGGUGUUUUGUGUGAUGCUGUUCAAACAGGUAAGAGAGUUGACCAUACUGGAAGUCCCUGGUGAGGCCAGCCCUUUUACAGCCUUACCAGGGUAUAAGCAUAAAGGAGUACAGUAGUAUCAGAAUCUCUAUUAUGGAGAUCACUAGACAGGGAAUAAAGGUCUUCAGUGUCCUAUAGAUGAACAGGGCAGUCCAGAAGGCUUCUGAGCGACAUAGUAAAGCCACAGUGUCGGUGCUAGGUGUACAAGUCCUUUUGCAGAUGUAGCCUAAUGUGACAGUGACACACCAAAAUAUAUUUAUAGCAGAUCACUAGUAUACAGUCUAAAUUUAGUGUGAAUUCUUCAGCACUGCAGGCUACAUUUUUUUUUUAAGUUUCAAAUUUCCCCAGACCUCCAAUGUAAGCUGUUAUCCUGUCAUUAAUGUUACACGUCAGUGUAUGGACAGAUGUCAUGUUUUCUAAAAGAUGAAAAGGUGCUUGUCACAAGUGUAAGUAUCUGUCUGUGAUCCAAGUAGCACUGCAAAUAACACUUUCUUAUUCUCUUUCUGUUUCAUCUGUGUUUAAGCAGACUAAAGAAGAAAUUUAAAGAGUGUAAGAGACUCUCAGAAGUCCAUGUAGCUUGUUGAAAGAUCAUGAAGAGAUAUGUAACAAUAUUUAGAAAAUUACUAAUACGUUCUGGAACAAAGCUUUCCCUUUUAGUAAAAGGCAUUUCUGUUUUCCUGUUGGAUUCCAUGACUUGUCAGAUAUAUGAAUAAAAAUAUGGAAAUAUUCUAGAAUAAAAAGUAAGGUUUAUCUUCUUAGAUCCAUUUGUCUUCUCAAAGAGAUUUAACUUUUUUCUUUACCUGCGAAAUACCAGGAUGAACAACAACAAAAAAUGAUAACAAAAAGAAACAAAUAUUAGCAAAAUGUGAGCAUGAAAGAAUUGCAAUGUCUGUACAGAGCCAAGUAUUUCAAUUUUUGAGUGUUUGGGGAUCUCUGGAAUUUUUGAAAUAAAGAAUUAUCACUCCUGUAAACUACAAAAUAAUUUCUAAAUGCCUAAAGAAAACAAAUAGAAAUUUCUUUAAAGAAUAAAACCGUUUAAAUGUUCAAUCUGGACAAGUUGUCUCAGCUCAU